UUCCAUCUCACUGAAUCCUCCUCAGGAGAAGUCCUGAAGUCCCUCAGCAGAUUCAGCAUAUCUCCUAUCUGAUCCAGCUCCUAAUCAUUGAAAUCUCUAGCCAAGCUGAGAUUCCAACCUCCUUGACCCAGGCUAGAGUCCCACACUUCACUUACUUUGGCAUUCCUAUGACCCGCCAAGGUAAACAGCUGUGGAAAAGUUUGGGAUAGCGCCUCAUUACCACACCACUUAUCCGUCCAGAACAAAACUUUAGUCCCCUUCCCUACCUUAAAUUCAAUGCUCUCCCAGCACCAAUCAGCCUCCUUCAUGAUCU
rnacentral:lncRNA from 1 species